CCGUUUGCCAAGUUUAACAGUGUAGAAAUAUCCAAAUCACAUGAAAUUUUGAUAGAAAAUUCUUUAUACCAUAUAAAACAAAAUCAAUAACUUUGAUCUAAAAUUUUAAUGUCAUAUCAUCAUAUUUUGUAAGAUUUUUAUUUUCAGCCGUUGAUUUUAAGCCACUUGAUCACUAGACAAAUGAUAUCGAAAAAUCGCAAAAUUUAUUUUCUAGAUACGAUCGACUUCGUACUCAUAAAUCAUUUUAGAUGAUAGGAAUUUCGAAUCAAUGAUCGGAAUCAUUAAAGUUGAUAUAGAGUAUUUAAAGUGUUUAGAAAAUAAAUUUUAUAAAUUUUAUAAAUUAUUUAUGUAGUUAUCAAAGAAUUACAAAAUUGAUAAUUUUUUACAGUGUAAAUCGUUUUGCUUGUUUAACAGUGUAAAAUAAUACAAACAGCUCAAAUUUUUGCUAGAAAAUUUUUUAUAUUAUUUAAAUAAUAUUUGAUAACUCUGAUCAUGAAUUGAAAAUGUCUAACAUCUAUUUUCACAAGAUACCGGUCAUUUGUCGACUAUUCAAUGAACUUGAUAACGAAUUUUAAAAUUUAUGAAAUUUAGUUUCUAGACGUUAUAAAUAUUUUAAAUCAACUUUAACAGUUCCGAUCAUCGAUUCGAUAUUUCUAUCAUCUAAAACGACUUAGGAGGCAAAGGCAUCUGUCCUCCUAAAAGAAUAAUUACUGGACUCUAUAUUUCUAUACUAUAUAUAAAGGCACGUAUUUCAAAUUUGGGUCUAUCGAUAGACUCAUUUUUUAGCGGGAAAAAAUAUUGUUUUCUCUUUCCUUACAUAAAAUAAAUAACGUAAUGAAACAAACUUUUAACUUCUAUUUAUCUCUAAAAUAGAAAAAAAAUAUACUUAUCCAAAUUUUUGCCAACCGAAAGAUAUUUACUGUGAAUCUAUAUUUUAAUUAAAAUUUAAUUUAAUUUUUUUAUCUCUAAAAUAGAAAAAAAAAAUCAUGCUUAUCCAAAUUUUUGCCAGAAUAUCUACUGUAAAUCUAUAUUUCAAUUCAAAAUAUAAAAUUAAUUUAAAAUUUAAAAUUUUGGGACUAUCUAUAUAUUACAAUGAAAAUAAUUUAAAAGAUAGAUUGGUCGAUAAAUUUGUAAAUCAUAAUUUUGAAUUAAUAUGAUAUACAAAUUUAUGAUCAAUUUGUAAAAAAUUAUCUCAAAUAAGAACAAACAAUUAUGAUCAAUUUGUUAAAAAAAAACAUUCAUACCUAUCUAUAACUUCAAUUCGACGAACGGUUAUGAUCAAUUGGUUAAAAAUAUUGAAAAUAAAAAUGAA
rnacentral:lncRNA from 1 species